rnacentral:rRNA from 1 species
AUUGAACGCUGGCGGCAUGCCUUACACAUGCAAGUCGAACGGCAGCACGGGAGCAAUCCUGGUGGCGAGUGGCGAACGGGUGAGUAAAGUAUCGGAACGCGCCCAGUCGUGGGGGAUAACGUAGCGAAAGUUACGCUAAUACCGCAUACGAUCUAUGGAUGAAAGCGGGGGAUCGCAAGACCUCGCGCGAUUGGAGCGGCCGAUAUCAGAUUAGGUAGUUGGUGGGGUAAAGGCUCACCAAGCCGACGAUCUGUAGCUGGUCUGAGCGGACGACCAGCCACACUGGGACAGGGACACGGCCCAGACUCCUACGGGAGGCAGCAGUGGUGAAUUUUGGACAAUGGGCGCAAGCCUGAUCCAGCCAUGCCGCGUGCAGUAUGAAGGCCUUCGGGUUGUAAACUGCUUUUGUACGGAACGAAAAGGUUUGACUUAAUACGUUGGACUCAUGACGGUACCGUAAGAAUAAGCACCGGCUAACUACGUGCCAGCCGCCGCAGUAA